UGACGGUACCGAGCGAGGAAGCCACGGCUAACUACGUGCCAGCAGCCGCGGUAAUACGUAGGUGGCGAGCGUUGUCCGGAAUUAUUGGGCGUAAAGGGAGCGCAGGCGGACAUAUAAGUCCAUCUUAAAAGUGCGGGGCUCAACCCCGUGAGGGGAUGGAAACUGUAUGCCUUGAGUGCAGGAGAGGAAAGCGGAAUUCCCAGUGUAGCGGUGAAAUGCGUAGAUAUUGGGAGGAACACCAGUGGCGAAGGCGGCUUUCUGGACUGUAACUGACCGCUGAGGCUCGAAAGCCAGGGGAGCGAGCGGGAUUAGAUACCCCGGUAGUCCUGGCCGUAAACGAUGAAUGCUAAGGUGUAGGAGGUAUCACCCCUCCUGUGCCGGAGUUAACGCAAUAAGCAUUCCGCCUGGGGAGUACGGUCGC
rnacentral:rRNA from 1 species